UACGAAGGGGGCUAGCGUUGCUCGGAAUCACUGGGCGUAAAGGGUGCGUAGGCGGGUCUUUAAGUCAGAGGUGAAAUCCUGGAGCUCAACUCCAGAACUGCCUUUGAUACUGGAGAGCUUGAGUCCGGAAGAGGUGAGUGGAACUCCGAGUGUAGAGGUGAAAUUCGUAGAUAUUCGCAAGAACACCAGUGGCGAAGGCGGCUCACUGGCCCGAUACUGACGCUGAGGCACGAAAGCGUGGGGAGCAAACAGG
rnacentral:rRNA from 1 species